ensembl:rRNA 5S_rRNA 5S ribosomal RNA
GUCUACGGCCACACCAUCCUGAGCACACCCGUUCUCGUCUGAUCUCGGAAGCUAAGCAGGGUCAGGCCUGGUUAGUACUUGAAUGGGAGACCAUGCUAACCUUCAGUGGACACCUUCUGCC